UUGAAAUGGCUAUGUGCCAAGAAAAAUAAGAUGCUACCAGACAAAGUGCUUAAUUUACUAUAGACAAAUUUUGUACUUCUUGUGUGUGGGGUUUGCUAACGUGCACACAACAAAAUAGCCAUGGUUGAGAUGGUGUUUUAAAGGUUGGAGUUUGUUGAAGCUUACAGAGAUGAAAUGGGACUCCCUUGUCGGGAGCUUGUUGAUGGAGAUGAGUCCAGUGGCACCGAGACCACAGGACGGAGUAUACACCACCCCUCCUUCUAGCGCCAAAUGAUAACGCCAGAUCCCGUUCCGGCCCUUUCUCCGCCUUGCUCCGUCGUCUUGCGGUGUAGCUGCUGGAUGGGUGCCUGCAAAACAACGCCGGAGGGGGGUUUGGACCCCGAGGCGCCUCCGGCGUGAGAGUAAGAGCGGGCUCGAAAGUAGUCGGACGGAAAAUGAGCUAUCUAUCAAUGUAGAGGGUGUGUGUAUGGUGGUUGCUGUAUGUGGUUGCUUGUGUGUUUAUGUUUGCUGAAUGUAUGUGUGUGAAAUACGAGUGUGGAGGCAGAAGAUAGUGAAGAGAGAAGAAGAAGCCCUUAAACCUCUUAUCCUUGGUCUAUUUAUAGGCCAAGGAUUAGGGUUUAAGGGUAGGAAACCUGAAUCUUGGCCAUACACCUGUAUGUCUCGAAUCCCUACACGUGUCCUUUGUCAGCUUGUCGUUUCUUGACAGUAGUUGACCGUUCAUGUCCUGUCCCUAUCACCUGGGGCUUCCAUUCGUCGUGUGCUGGUCCGGGAGAGGGAUGGAUUGGUUGUGUCUGAGUCCGGGAUCAUCUAUUAGGUCCGGAUCAUCUCCGGGGUCUGGGAUCAUCUCCGGGGUCCGGGAUCAUCUCCGGGGUCUGGGAUCAUCUAUUAGGUCCGGAUCAUCUCCGGGGUCUGGGAUCAUCUCCGGGGUCCGGGAUCAUCUCCGGGGUCCGGGAUCAUCUCCUGGGUCCGGAUCAUCUCCGGGGUCCGGGGUCAUCUCAUGGGUCCGGGAUCAUCUCCGGGUCAUGCAGUGCUUGGAUCCGGGUUAUACCCUAUCAACUACUAUGUGUCUAUCUCCUCCCAUUCACCUCUAGUAAAUGUGUAUGAUUGGGCUCUUUAGUGUCUGUGCAUCAGCAGUUGCUAGUUGAAGAGAAGAAGCUAGCUAGGAGAGGAGUGAAAACAGAGGAAGACCCAUUAAUUAUUUCAUGCAAGUCAUGGGCAUGCCAGGAUUGCAGAGAGAUAAUUAUGCAGGAGAGGAAAGGACAAGAGGGGACAUAGGGCUGUUUAACGAACCGAGCUGUUCGCGAACAAGCUCGAGCUCGGCUCGUUAAGAGCUCGUUCGGCUCGGCUCGUUAAGUUAACGAGCUCGAGCUCGAACACAAAAAAUUGUUCGUUAAGUAAACGAGCUCGAGCCGAGCUUUUAGUAUGUUCGGCUCGAGCUCGGCUCGAGCUCGGCUCGAGCUCGUUCGGCUCGAGUUCGGCUCGUUAAAGCUCGAAAAA
rnacentral:lncRNA from 1 species